ensembl:lncRNA novel transcript
CGGACGGGAAAUUAAGAUAAGCCAACACAGCAAUUACAAGAAUGAUGUCAUGAUCAGAAAAGAGGCUUAUGUACAUAAAAGUAUGAUGGAGGAACUGAAGAGUAUAAUUGAUGACAGUGAAAUUACCAAAGAGGAUGAUGCGUUAUGGCCUCCUCCCAACCGAGAGGGCCGGCAGGAGCUUGAAAUCAUUAUUGGAGAUGAACACAUUUCUUUUACAACAUCAAAAAUUGGUUCCCUUAUUGAUGUCAGUCAAUCCAAGGAUCCAGAAGGCUUAUGAGUAUUUUAUUAUCCUGUCCAGGACCCUGAAGUGUUUGGUCUUCAGUCUUACUGGAUUACACUUCAAGAUUAAACCAAUCUAAACUGAAUAUUGAUGUGGACAUGGGGGGGUGGGAGUAGUUUUUAAUUACCAUUAUCAAGAACAUUUUGUGU